GGAUCCUGCCCAUCAGGGCUUUCAGUCCAGCCCACAGGAUUGCCAGCACCCGGCACAGUGGGGCUAAGGCAGGCUCCCUGCCUGCCCUGGCCCCAUGCCACUCCCAGAAGUGGCCGGUACCACGUCCCUGC